rnacentral:misc_RNA from 1 species
GAUGAAGAACGCAGCGAAAUGCGAUAAGUAAUGCGAAUUGCAGAAUUCCGUGAGUCAUCGAAUCUUUGAACGCACAUUGCGCCCUUUGGCAUUCCGAAGGGCAUGCCUGUUCGAGCGUCAUUUAUCAACCCUUAAGCCUGGCUUGCGGUUGGGUCCCGCCGUGGGCGACCACGGCGGACCCGAAAGGUAAUGGCGGUGCCCGUGGGGCCCUGGACGCAGCGAGCUUCUCGGCACGCGUCCCGGCGGUCCCCGGCGCCGUCUCCACCAAUCCACCACGCAGAUUGACCUCGGAUCAGGUAGGGAUACCCGCUGAACUUAAGCAUAUCAAUAAGCGGAGGA